GUCGAGCGGUAAGGCCCUUCGGGGUACACGAGCGGCGAACGGGUGAGUAACACGUGGGUGAUCUGCCUCGCACUCUGGGAUAAGCCUGGGAAACUGGGUCUAAUACCGGAUAUGACCUUACAUCGCAUGGUGUUUGGUGGAAAGAUUUAUCGGUGCGAGAUGGGCCCGCGGCCUAUCAGCUUGUUGGUGGGGUAAUGGCCUACCAAGGCGACGACGGGUAGCCGGCCUGAGAGGGCGACCGGCCACACUGGGACUGAGACACGGCCCAGACUCCUACGGGAGGCAGCAGUGGGGAAUAUUGCACAAUGGGCGAAAGCCUGAUGCAGCGACGCCGCGUGAGGGAUGACGGCCUUCGGGUUGUAAACCUCUUUCGACAGGGACGAAGCGCAAGUGACGGUACCUGUAGAAGAAGCACCGGCCAACUACGUGCCAGCAGCCGCGGUAAUACGUAGGGUGCGAGCGUUGUCCGGAAUUACUGGGCGUAAAGAGCUUGUAGGCGGCUUGUCGCGUCGAUCGUGAAAACUUGGGGCUCAACCCCAAGCUUGCGGUCGAUACGGGCAGGCUUGAGUACUUCAGGGGAGACUGGAAUUCCUGGUGUAGCGGUGAAAUGCGCAGAUAUCAGGAGGAACACCGGUGGCGAAGGCGGGUCUCUGGGAAGUAACUGACGCUGAGAAGCGAAAGCGUGGGUAGCGAACAGGAUUAGAUACCCUGGUAGUCCACGCCGUAAACGGUGGGUACUAGGUGUGGGUUUCCUUCCACGGGAUCCGUGCCGUAGCUAACGCAUUAAGUACCCCGCCUGGGGAGUACGGCCGCAAGGCUAAAACUCAAAGGAAUUGACGGGGGCCCGCACAAGCGGCGGAGCAUGUGGAUUAAUUCGAUGCAACGCGAAGAACCUUACCUGGGUUUGACAUACACCGGAAACCUGCAGAGAUGUAGGCCCCCUUGUGGUCGGUGUACAGGUGGUGCAUGGCUGUCGUCAGCUCGUGUCGUGAGAUGUUGGGUUAAGUCCCGCAACGAGCGCAACCCUUAUCUUAUGUUGCCAGCGCGUAAUGGCGGGGACUCGUGAGAGACUGCCGGGGUCAACUC
rnacentral:rRNA from 1 species